AUACGUAGGGAGCGAGCGUUGUCCGGAAUUACUGGGUGUAAAGGGAGCGUAGGCGGGACUGCAAGUCAGAUGUGAAAUACCGGGGCUUAACCCCGGAGCUGCAUUUGAAACUGUGGUUCUUGAGUGAAGUAGAGGCAAGCGGAAUUCCUGGUGUAGCGGGGCAAUGCGUAGAUAUCAGGAGGAACACCGGUGGCGAAGGCGGCUUGCUGGGCUUUUACUGACGCUGAGGCUCGAAAGCGUGGGGAGCAAACAGGAUUAGAUUCCCUGGUAGUCCACGCCGUAAACGAUGAAUACUAGGUGUAGGGGGUAUCGACUCCCUCUGUGCCGCAGUUAACACAAUAAGUAUUCCGCCUGGGGAGUACGGCCGCAAGGUUGAAACUCAAAUGAAUUGGCGGGG
rnacentral:rRNA from 1 species